GGUUCCUGUCCAAAAGGAGAUUUCAGAGACCGAGGCAGUCUCAGGAAGAGUGAAGCCAUCUCUUUCCAAGAGCAGAGAAGUUCCUGUGCAGAGAGCCCUCGGAACUUCAGCUUCCUGAGACCGCGGUCAUGUCUCAGCAAGGGGAUGACCGCAGUUCCAGUUCUUACUCUGUGAGAGGAAAGAAGCAGCGCGGUGCGGUUCCCCAUGUUUGGGAGCAGCAGCCAGCAGGCUGCUGGAGAUCCAACAGCGCCUUGCAGUGCACAGAGGGACGCGAUGGGAACGGACCGUCCUUCCUGCCACGCAAAAGGCCAAAAAAUAUCUUCCUCGGCUUUUGCACCUUUUCUUUGCUGGUGCACCUUCAAGCUGUCAGGCAGACCGGGAUUCCUGUGCUGCCAUCUGAGCAGGAAUGAGAGCAGUCAUGCUUUGUGGACAGAGCCUGUGCAUCCAUGGAAUGGUGCUGGGCUUGGGGGAAAACGGAAAGCCUCCCCAGAAGCUGAUGCCAGUGGCCUUCCUCUGAAGCGCAGCCAUGCGGAAGGGCAGAGGAGGAGCACCGAGUGUGACAUGGCACCCAAGAGAGAGAUUGGUGCUGAGCCAAAUGGCAACAUCUGUGUGAAAGUGGUGCAGCAGGUCCGCUCUGAGAGAGCUUGUCACCAAACAGCAGCUGAAGCUCCUCUCCAGGCCGGAGAGCUUCCUAGAAGAGCAGGCCCCAGCACAGGGGAAGACCUUCCCCUGCCGUGUGCCCCUGCUCCGUCUCCAAGGCCCAGGCUGGAUGUAAACGCAAGGGCUUGGAAGAAGGGAGACCAACAGCAGCGCAGCUGCCUGCCAAAAAGAGAGCGGGCGGUCAGAGCACAGACAGCGUGCCGGCUCCAGCAGCACAGCCUGGGCCUGCCGCAGCGCGGAGCUCCAGGCAAAGAGGUGAGCAGGUGCUGUGGUACCGCCGUGCUGAGCUGCUUCCCUUUCCAAGCACCCCGAGUUUGCUUAGGGUUUGCUUUGCUUUUUCCUUCUCUGUAGAGGGGAAAAGAGUUGAAGGCCAAAGUCCAAAGGCAGUGAGGUACCAGAAUGUGUAACCCCGUUUCUUUCCGUUAGCUCUUGUUGACACGGCUCUUGUUGUUCCCAGGCCUCCGUCUGUCAGACAUGGAAGAGGUUUCCCGAGGGAAGUGGUGUCCUGUUUCUGCACUCGCUUUGUUUCUUUCCAAUCCUCCGCAGUGAACAGCCUUGUGGAGAUGAUGCAGAAGCUGCAGCUGAAGGACUGAGAGGCGGAGCGUCAGAAGGCAGCAGUUACAGGGCAGCGCUGCGAGUGCCGCCCAACUCGGCACUCCACCUUUGGAUGCAGUCAAUAAAAAACAGUCACAAUUAGAGACUGACA
rnacentral:lncRNA from 1 species